GAUGAACGCUAGCGGCAGGCCUAACACAUGCAAGUCGAGGGGUAGAAGGAGCUUGCUCCUUUGAGACCGGCGCACGGGUGCGUAACGCGUAUGCAAUCUACCUUGUACAGGGGAAUAGCCCAGAGAAAUUUGGAUUAAUGCCCCAUAGUAUAUAACCUUCGCAUGUUGGUUAUAUUAAAGUUCCAACGGUACAAGAUGAGCAUGCGUCCCAUUAGUUAGUUGGUAAGGUAACGGCUUACCAAGACGAUGAUGGGUAGGGGUCCUGAGAGGGAGAUCCCCCACACUGGUACUGAGACACGGACCAGACUCCUACGGGAGGCAGCAGUGAGGAAUAUUGGUCAAUGGUCGCAAGACUGAACCAGCCAUGCCGCGUGCAGGAAGACGGUCCUAUGGAUGGUAAACUGCUUUUAGACAGGAAGAAACCCUCCCACGUGUGGGAGCUUGACGGUACUGUAGGAAUAAGGAUCGGCUAACUCCGUG
rnacentral:rRNA from 1 species